GGUGGUGGAGAUUGGUACCAGUAGAUUGGUGGCGAUGGUGGAGGUGGGGAUUUCACAUGGUGGUGAUGGGGUGGUGGCGGCGGUGGUGGUGGGCAUUUGUAUUCAUAUGCUGGUGGUGGUGGAGACUCGUAUUUAUACAGUGGCAAUGGAGGUGAAUACAGUGAGAUUUGUACUCGUAUGGAGCUGGCGGUGGUGGAGAUUUCUCACAUUUUGGUGGUGGUGGUGGUGGUGGUGGAGACUUGUACUGGUAAGGAGGUGGUGGUGGAGAUUUGUGAUGGUGAGGAGGUGGUGGCAAUUCAACCGGUGGAGGUGGUGAUUCAACCGGUGG
rnacentral:lncRNA from 1 species